rnacentral:rRNA from 1 species
AUUGAACGCUGGCGGCAGGCCUAACACAUGCAAGUCGAGCGAGCGGCGGUCGGGUGAGUAAUGUCUGGGAAACUGCCUGCUGGUGGGGGAAAACUACUGGAUACGGUAGCUAAUACUGCAUAUCAUCAGCUAUGUCCAGAUGGGCUGAGCGAGUAGGUGGGGUAACGGCUCACCUAGGCGACCAUCCCUAGCUGGUCUGAGAGGAUGACCCGCAACACUGGAACUGAGACAAGGUCCAGACUCCUACGGGAGGCAGCAGUGGGGAAUAUUGCACAAUGGGCGCAAGCCUGAUGCAGCCAUGCCGCGUGUGUGAAGAAGGCCUUCGGGUUGUAAAGCACUGUCAGCGGGGAGGCGUUACCCGCAGAAGAAGCACCUGCUAACUCCGUGCCAGCAGCCGCGGUAAUUC